rnacentral:rRNA from 1 species
GACGAACGCUGGCGGCGUGCUUAACACAUGCAAGUCGAACGGAAAGGCCCUGCUUUUGUGGUGUUUUCGAGUGGCGAACGGGUGAGUAACACGUGAGUAACCUGCCCUUGACUUUGGGAUAACUUCAGGAAGCUGGGGCUAAUACCGUAUAGGAUCUCCUGCUGCAUGGUGGGGGUUGGAAAGUUUCGGCGGUUGGGGAUGGACUCGCGGCUUAUCAGCUUGUUGGUGGGGUAGUGGCUUACCAAGGCGUUGACGGGUAGCCGGCCUGUGAGGGUGACCGGCAACAGUGGGACUGGGAUACGGCCCAGAGUCAUACGGGAGGCAGGAGUGGGGAAUAUUGCACAAUGGGCGGAAGCGUGAUGCAGCAACGCCGCGUGCGGGAUGACGGCUUUCGGGUUGUAAACGGAUUUCGCCUGUGACGAAGCGUGAGGGACGGUACUGAGUAAAGAAGAACCGGCUAACUACGG